ACAGGGCAGCCAGAGCCAAUUUUGACGCUCUCGCCGCCGGUGGUCAGCGUUGUGGGUAGCGCGGCCAGAGCGAUCUUUUGACGCUCUCGCCGCCGGCGGUGUGAACGCACAGUUAAGGUAUUUUAAUGGCCACAGA